UUGGACGAUGGAGGUGUGAUGACAAAAUUACUUUAGCUUAUUUGCUAAAUCUAUCAACCAUUUAAUAGUAUUUUUUUUUAUAGUAAAUCAAUAAAUAGUACUUUCAACGAUGGCUUAUCAGCCAAGCGAAUAGGCUAGUCCGAUUUUAAACACGAUUGGUUGCCUCUAUAUACAAUGGCUAUCCUGAUCUAUUAGGGAUUUUGGGAUCCUCCACUGACAGGUGAGGCCCAUUUUUGUCUGUUUUUUUUCUUUUCCUCUGACCGCAUCGAAUUUCCGCCCCAAGAGCCACGUCUGAAUUUCAGCCCCUUGCCCCGCACUCGCCUGCUUGGUUCGGACUCAGCCGCAGGGCCAAAAUCGCCGGCAUGGUCUGCGCCUCCUCAGCUGCACCUCGGUAAGGGACGAAGGUAUACUAUCCCUAGGGUGCAG
rnacentral:lncRNA from 1 species